CCCGACCCGGACCCAUCUGAUUGGCCAGAACCUGACCCCGGACCCAUCUGAUUGGCCAGAACCUGACCCAUCUGAUUGGCCAGAACCUGACCCAUCUGAUUGGCCAGAACCUGACCCAUCUGAUUGGCCAGAACCUGACCCAUCUGAUUGGCCAGAACCUGACCACGGACCCAUCUGAUUGGCCAGAACCUGACCACAGACAGUUAAACCACAAAAAGAGAGAGAGAUAAACAGAACAAAGAAACAACAACCAAAACAGUCUGUAUGAACUGGAUCAGACGGUAACCAUAACAACCACAGACAUGGUCAGAGAAUCAGACAACCAAUAAGAACCGCAGAAACAUUUAAAAACUGAUCAGUUUCACAUACAGUCUGCGUCCCAAUUGGCCCCCUAUUCCUCACAGGCCUCUGAUCAAAAUUAGUGUACUAUAUAGGGAAUAGGGCCCUGGUCAACAGUAGUGUACUAUAUAGGGAAUAGGGCCCUGAUCAACAGUAGUGUUCUAUAUAGGGAAUAGGGCUCUGGUCUAAAGUAGUGUUCUAUAUAGGGAAUAGGGCUCUGGUCUAUAGUAGUGCACUAUAUAGGGAAUAGGGCCCUGAUCAACAGUAGUGUUCUGUAUAGGGUAUCAUUUGGGAUCUAACCACUCUUCUGAUGAGAGAACAUGUGACAAACAAGUACACUAUAUAGAAACAGGGUGGUGUUUGGGACGCAGGUCCAUAAAAUAGUGGCUUCACCAUCCAGCUGAUAACAAUUUCAUCCACAUCUGAUAACUAGGAUAGCAGUCAUUUAAUAUAAAAACAAUCACAAUGUCAUGGCAACUAAUGAUCUGUGAUUAGGUAAGUAUAGGGAGAGAGGAAUGGGACUGGGAGAGAGGGGUGGAGGGAGAGGAGGAGGGGUGGAGAGAGGUAGAGAGAGGUAGAGAGAGUGAGAGAGAGGUAGAGAGAGAGGAAGAGGUAGAGAGAGAGGAAGAGGUAGAGAGAGAUUUAAAGAGGUAGAGAGAGUGAGAGAGUG
ensembl:lncRNA